rnacentral:rRNA from 1 species
UACGUAGGGUGCAAGCGUUAAUCGGAAUUACUGGGCGUAAAGCGUGCGCAGGCGGUUUUGUAAGUCUGAUGUGAAAUCCCCGGGCUCAACCUGGGAAUUGCAUUGGAGACUGCAAGGCUUGAAUCUGGCAGAGGGGGGUAGAAUUCCACGUGUAGCAGUGAAAUGCGUAGAGAUUUGGAGGAAUACCAGUGGCGAAGGCGGCCCCCUGGCCCGAUAUUGACGCUGAGGUGCGAAAGCGUGGGGAGCAAACAGG